rnacentral:rRNA from 1 species
GGGGGGGGGGGGGGGGGGGGGGGGGGGGGGGGGGUGGGGGGGGGGGGGGGGGGGUUUGGGGGGUGGGCGAGGGGGGGGCGGGGGAGUGACACGGGGGUAACCUGCCCUUGACUUGGGGAUAACUGCAGGAAACUGGGGCGAAUACCGGAUAGGAGCGCCUGCUGCAUGGUGUGGGUUGGAAAGUGUCGGCGGUUGGGGAUGGACUCGCGGCUUAUCAGCUUGUUGGUGGGGUAGUGGCUUACCAAGGCUUUGACGGGUAGCCGGCCUGAGAGGGUGACCGGCCACAUGGGGACUGAGAUACGGCCAAGACGCCAACGGGAGGCAGCAGUGGGGAAUAUGGCACAAUGGGCGGAAGCCUGAUGCAGCAACGCCGCGUGCGGGAUGACGGCCUUCGGGUUGUAAACCGCUUUCGCCUGUGACGAAGCGUGAGUGACGGUAAUGGGUAAAGAAGCACCGGCUAACUACGUG